AUGGUGUUCUUCUGCUUCCUGGUGGACCAGCGGCGGAAGGUGCGGAGCAGCAAGCCGGCGGCGGGGAUCUGCUCGCGCUGCGGCGGCUGCGCCAGCGUGGCGGACAUGGAGACGGCCACGCGGCUCUGCUACCUCCUCACCGUGCACCGCGUCACCUGGCGCGCCAUCAUCUGCACCUUCUGCGGCGCCAUGCUCAAGUCCUACCGCCACUACCGCCUCUACUAG
rnacentral:rRNA from 1 species